GUAAAAACAGUUUCCCAUCAGCAGUCGAGUGCCGAGGCAGCGGAGAGAAAUGUUGUUACAAUCGAUAUUAAUGAAAAUAUUGGCCAUUUUUUUGGUCUGCUGGCUGGGACACGUCACAGCCCAGUCAUCUGCCGAUUAUAUGGAGCUCGAAAUCGGUUCAAGAGGUGAAGGUCCACCGGAAAAGACAGAAUUUCCCUGGGGAAAUGAUGACCAGGAUCUUGAUGCGACAAUUUAAGUUUCUUACGAUUUUGUAAAUUACACAAACAAUUGUAAUGCUUUAUUAAAUCUAUUAAAGAACCUAAUUCUUAUCAGU
rnacentral:sRNA from 1 species